CAUAGGCCUUGACCAUUCUUAGUUGUUGCUUCUUCCAUUUACCCUAGCCAGAAACAAAAACAAUGUAAUGCCACCCUGUGAUUAUAAACCGACCAGAUCAAUCAUCCUACACUGUCAGAUUGGAAGACGAAAUUGAGGGUGGUAUCAUCUAAUAUAAUUGAAGUUAUGAAACUAAUAAUAAACAUGGGAGAUCUCAACAAAUGGACCCUUCCCACCACCAGAUCUUUGCCCCUGUAGAACAAGACAAGAGGCCAUAGUUUAAAGCUCUUAAGAAAACAUACGCUGCUCUUGAUCUCAUAGAAAUGCUCCUUAUUAUACAGAUGAAGUAUUUUUAAAACCUCUAAAGUAUGAGACCUUUCAAGCCUGUGUACGUCAAGCAGUUAAGCAAACUGUGUCAUCGUAUUAUUCGUAUCUUGUAUAGAAAUCUGAAAUUUUGUAUGUAUUAGUGUUGAGAUGGUAGAAUAUUGCAGUUUAACAAGUCAGAAGAAGAACCAACAACCUGCAGAUAAAGUUGGAGGAUCU
rnacentral:lncRNA from 1 species